rnacentral:rRNA from 1 species
UUCCGGUUGAUCNUGCCGGACCUGACUGCUAUCGGAUUGAUACUAAGCCAUGCNAGUCAUUGUAGCAAUACAAGGCAUACGGCUCAGUAACGCGUAGUCAACCUACCCUAUGGACGGGGAUAACCUCGGGAAACUGAGAAUAAUACCAGAUAGAACAUAAUGCCUGGAAUGGUUUAUGUUUCAAAUAAUUUAUUGCCAUAGGAUGGGACUGCGGCCUAUCAGUUUGUUGGUGAGGUAAUGGCCCACCAAGACUAUUACAGGUACGGGCUCUGAGAGGAGUAGCCCGGAGAUGGGUACUGAGACACGGACCCAGGCCCUAUGGGGCGCAGCAGGCGAGAAAACUUUGCAAUGUGCGAAAGCACGACAAGGUUAAUCCGAGUGGUUUCUGCUAAAGGAACCUUUUGACAGUCCUAGAAACACUGUUGAAUAAGGGGUGGGCAAGUUCUGGUGUCAGCCGCCGCGGUAAAACCAGCACCUCAAGUGGUCAGGAUGAUUAUUGGGCCUAAAGCAUCCGUAGCCGGUUUCGUAAGUUUUCGGUUAAAUCCAUACGCUCAACGUAUGGGCUGCCGGGAAUACUGCAAAACUAGGGAGUGGGAGAGGUAGAC